rnacentral:rRNA from 1 species
CAACAAACCCGACUCGGCGCGGUACUUGUUUGCUAUCGGUCUCUCGCCCGUAUUUAGCCUUGGACGAUGAAAAGGACUUUGAAAAGAGAGUCAGGAAGUUCCUUGAAUGUCCGGGAGGGAAGCGGAUGGGGGCCGGCGAUGCGCCCCGGGUCGGGAUGUGGAACGGCGACGAGCCGGUUCCGCCGAUCGACUCGGGGCGUGGACCGACGCGGUUCGGGGCUGCGGCCCAAGCCCGGGCUGUAGUCAUGCCCGUGGAGACGUCGUCGCCUCGGUCGUGGAACGCAGCGCGCGCCGUCGCGGCGUGCCCUCGGGCACCUGCGCGCUCAGGGCGUCGGCCCGCGGGCCCCCCAUUCGGCCCGUCUUGUAACACGGACCAAGGAGUCUGACAUGUGUGCGAGUCAACGGGCCAGUAAACACCCGUAAGGCAAGGAAGCUGACCGGCGGGAUCCCCCCUCGAGGGGUGCACCGUCGAGACCGACCUCGGAUCCUUAUUGAGGAAGGGGUUCGAGUGAGAGCAUGCCUGUCGGGACCCGAAAGAUGGUGGAACUAUGCCUGAGCGGGGCGAAGCCAGAGGAAACUCUGGUUGGAGGGCCCGCAGCGGAUACCUGACGUAAAUCCGUUCGUUGACUUGGGGUGUAUGGGGCUAAAAGACUAAUCGAACCACUGAGUAGCUGGUUCCCUCCGAAGUUUCCCUCAGGAUAGCUGGAGCCCAGUAGCUGGUUCCCUCCCGAAGUUUCCCUGAGGAUAGCUGGAGCCCGCGGGCGAGUUCUAUCGGGUAAAGCCAAUGACGGAUAGCUGGAGCCCGCGGGCGAGUUCUAUCGGGUAAAGCCAAUGAUUAGCUUGAGAGCCCGCGGGCCAAGUUCUAUCGGGUAAAGCCAAUGUUUGGAGGCAUCGGGGGCGCAACGCCCUCGACCUAUUCUCAAACCUUAAAAUAGGUAGGACGGGCGCGGCUGCUUCCAUUGAGGCCGCGCCACGGAAUCGGAGAAGCCUCCAAAGUGGGCCAUUUUUUUGGUAGCAGAACAUGGCGAUUGCGGGAUGACCCGGAAAGCCGGGUUACGGUGGCCCAACUGCGCGCUAACCUAUAGAACCCACAAAGGGGUGUUUGUUUCGAUUUAAAGCAGCAAGGCGGUGGGUUCAUAUGAAGUCGAGAGGGUGUUGGUCGAUUAAGACAGCAGGACGGUGGUCAUGGAAGUCGAAAUUCUCCGCUAAGGAGUGUGUAACAACUCACCUUGCCCGAAUCAACAAGCCCCGGAAAAUUGGGAUGGCGCCUUAAGCGCGCCGACCCUAUACCCGCCCGUCGAAGGCAAGGGCCAGGGCCUCUCGAUGGAGUAGGAGGGGCGCGGCGGUCGCCGAAAACCGGGGCGCCGAGCCGGGCGGAGCGGCCGUCCGGUGCGGAUCUUGGUGGUAGUAGCAAAUAUUCAAAUGUGAGAACCUUGGGAAGGGCCGAAGAGGGGAAAGGUUCCAUAUGAUGAACGGCACACUUGGAACAUGGGUUAAGUCGAUCCUAAGAGACCGGGGGAAGGCCCGUCCGACAAGCGCGCGCGAACGCGCGAACCUGAAAGGGAAUCGGGUUAACAUUCCGAAAGAGGGAAUCGGGUUAACAUUUCCUGAACCGGGACGUGACGGCUGACGCAACCGUUAGGGAGGCCCGGAAGAGUCGGUCGAAGGGCCUCGGGGAAGAGCUAUCUUUUCCGUUUAACAGCCCGCCCCACCCUGGAAACGGCCUCAAGCGCCGGAGGUAAGGGUCCAGCGGCUGGAAGAGCACCCGCACGGUUCGCCGUGGUGUCCGGUUGCGGCCCUCGACGGGCCCUUGAAAAUCCGGAGGACCGAGUGCCGCCCACGCCCGGGUCGUACUCAUACCGCAUCCAGGUCUUCCAAAGGUGAACAGCCCCUCUGGUCGAUGGGAACAAUUGUAGGCCAAGGGGAAAGUCGGGCAAAAAAUGGAUCCGUAAACCUCGGAAAAAGGGAUUUGGGCUCUGGAGGGGCUGGGCACACGGGGGGUCCCAGUUCCCGAACCCCGUCGGCUGUCGGUGGACCUGCUCGAGCUGGCUCCCGCGGCGAGAGCGGGUCGCCGCGUGCCGGCCGGGGGACGGACUGGGAACGGCUCCCUCGGGGGCUUCCCCGGGGCGUCGAACAGUCGGACUCAAGAACUUGGGUACGGACAAGGGGAUCCGACGUUUAAAUUAUAAAACAAAGGCCAUUUGCGAUUGGCCUUGCGAUGCUCACGCAAUGUGAUUUCUGCCCAAUUGCUCUGAAUGUCCAAAGGUGAGAAAUUCAACCCAAGAGCGGCCGGGGUAAACGGCGGGAGUAAAUUAUGACUCUCCUUAAGGUAGCCAAAUGCCUCGUCAUCUUAUUACUGAACACGCGCAUGAAUGGGAUUUAACGAGAAUUCCCACUGGUCCCUGUCUACUAUUCCAGCGGAAACCCAAGCCAAGGGAGAAGGGCUUUGGCGGGAAUCAGCGGGGGAAAGAAGACCCCUUUGAGCUUGACCUCUAGUUCCGGCCUUUUGUGAAAGUACUUGAGGAGGGUGUAGGAUAAAGUGGGAGCCGGAAACGGCGAAAGCGAAUUACCACACUACCUCUUUUAACGUUGUGGGAGCCGGAAACGGCGAAAGUGAAAUACCACUACUUUUAACGUUAUUACUUAUUCGUUGAAUUCGGGGCGGGGAAUCAUCCCCUCCUUUUGGGGACCAAGGCCGCGCCCAGCGGCGCCGAUCCCGGGCGGGAAGACAACAUUUCAGGUGGGGGAGUUUGGCUGGGGGGCGGCGCAUCAUCUUUAAAAAGAUAACGCGGGUUGCCUAAGAUGAAGCUUACGAUAACAGAAAUCUCGUGUGGGAACAAAAAAGGUAAAGCCUCGUUUGAAUUUUCUGAUUUCCAGUGAAAAUACGAAACCGUGAAACCGUGGCCUACGAUCCCUUUAACCCUUCGGGAAUUUUUGGAAGCUUAGAGGGUGUCAGAGAAAAAGGUUAACCCCAGAGGGAUAAACUGCGUUUUUGUUGGAGCCAAGCCUUUCCUUUGGCCAACGUUGCUCUUUUUGAUUCCCUCUGGAUGUCCGGCUCCUUUCCCUAUCAUUUUGAGAAGCAGAAUUACCAAGUGGUUGGUUUUCCCACCAAUAGGGAACCUUUAAGCUGGUUUAAGACCGUCGUUGAGACAAGGUUAUUUUAACCUUACUGAUGACAGUGUCGCAAAUAAAAUUCCAAACUUAAUUACGGAGGGAACCGUUGUUCGCACAUUUGUUCAUCUCGCGGCCUUCGGUUUAAAAGCCAGUGGCGCGAAGCUACCGUGCGCUGGAUUAUGACUGAACACCAGUUGGCGCGAAGGUUACCGUGCGCUGGAUUAUGAAUUGAAACGCCUCUAAGUCAGGAAUCCGGGCUAUAAGAAGCGACGCGUACGCCCGCCGCCCUAUUUCCUGACCCUUCAAUCAGGGGCCACCCGGCCCCCAGAGGCACGUGUCCUUGGUCAAGCCCGCGCGGCGGAAGGAGACCGCACGGGCCGGCCUUGGAAGUAUCAAUUUCUCCGAGCGGGCGGUAGAAUUCUUUGCAGAGACUUAAAUACGCGACGGGGUAUUGUAAGUUGGCAGAGUGGCCUUGCUGCCACGAUCCACUGAGAUUCAGCCCUAUGUCGCUCCGAUUCGU